rnacentral:piRNA from 1 species
UUAUUCUUUUCAAGGGGUGUUGGUGGAGU